GGCCUAUUGCCGUUCAAGAGCCAAACGACAUGCGACACCUAGUGUUGAGUAGCAGAACAGAGCGAAGAAUGUCGAUUGAAAUUUCCGCCCUUUGAGGUUAUGUAUGCGAAUUCUGUUUUGUUAAAUUCCAGCGUUCAAAACAACUUUUGAGCAAAAAUUUGAGCUGAUACUUUGUUAACUUUUGAUGCUCUAUCAUUGCCGUUCAAGAGCCAAACGACAUGCGACACCUAGUGUUGAGUAGCAGAACAGAACGAAGAAUGUCGAUUGAAAUUUCCGCCCUUUGAGGUUAUGUAUGCGAAUUCUGUUUUGUUAAAUUCCAGCGUUCAAAACAACUUUUGAGCAAAAAUUCGAGCUGAUACUUUGUUAACUUUUGAUGCUCUAUCAUUUUAAACAAUAUUAUUUUUUCAAAAUUAUUUUUUUUUCAAUUUUUUUUAUUGCGUUAAUUUAUAAAGGGCAAAGAGUUAACAAUCGUACUACUUGAAUUUUUUUCUCAAAAGUUGUUCUAUGAGCUGUAAAUUCAAUUUUAAGUUUGCAUUCCCUGUUUGAAAAAUGUCGCACGUCGUACGAGCUGUCGCGCGGUUUUGAUUUUACCGUUUCGAUAUCGAUUGGUCGAAAGGACGACAAACGUACGACAAACACUUGACAUGACCGACAUUGUUUUUCCAUCGAUUUUCCUUCAAUUUGAAGUCAAGAUUUUCGUCGACGCAGUUUGACAGUUCUCUCCAGUUGGACUUGUUUGGACUUGAUCAAAUCAGAGAAACUUUGAAUCGAUUCAAAUCAGUUUUACGUUGCAGUAAGGUUUCGUGUGGAUUUUGGCCGGUUGAUUGAUUUCCUGAUUUCGGCCUUCGUGAUGGUGGAGGAGGAGGAGAACGGGUCCCAUCGUUGCUCCAGCGGGCCUUGCCGGAAGACGGGAGGGAAAGGAACCGGUCUGCGAUCGAGGAAGCGGAUUGGCGUUUAACUUUCCGCUGGAGGUGGCGGUGCGUGCCAUACCCAAGGAGGAGGAGGAUCAAACGGCAUGUAAUGGAUGAGGCGGCGUUUCUGAUCCGCCGGAGGUUUUUAUACGGUAACCAAAAAUAUUCCAAUCAGAUCCUGCUGACAACCCAGCGUCUCCGUUUUGUCCCACGGAACGGAAGCUGUAACGAUCGCAAAAACACCUGCACCGAACACUUCCGGUAAACUGAUGUUGUCCCGUACUCCGGUGGCCAUCAAUCCGUGGGAAAGAAACGGAAGCAAACUCGAAAAGAUGGCUGACAAAGUCCGGCCAAGAUGCCGAAGUGACGAGAUGAGCUGAAAGGCCAACUGGAAGACAACGCCAAAAAACCACUUAAAGAUCGCGAUACACAACAUCUAAAAUUAAUGAAUGUAUAUGAAAUUUAGUGAAAAAGUUUAAUUUACAGAAAAUAUACAAUACAUCUAAAAAUAAUUUAAAAAUAAAAAAAAAAUAUUUUUACUGCAACCUAACCUAAUAAAAACGAAAAAACAGCACACGACAAAGGCACGACAACCUAAAUAACAAAACCGUGCGACGUCGGUCGAAUGUCGUACGACAAUGUCGAACAAUUUCGAUGAUCGAUCGCACGACAAAUACGACAUUUUGGUGCA